GACGAACGCUGGCGGCGUGCCUAAUACAUGCAAGUCGACCUUAGUGGCGCACGGGUGAGUAACACGUGGGUAACCUGCCCAUCAGAAGGGGAUAACACUUGGAAACAGGUGCUAAUACCGCAUACUGAUGGAUGAACCCGCGGUGCAUUAGCUAGUUGGUGAGGUAACGGCUCACCAAGGCCACGAUGCCUAGCCGAACCGAGAGGGUGAUCGGCCACAGGUGGACUGAGAAAGGGCCCAAACUCCUACGGGAGGCAGGAGUAGGGAAUCUUCGGAAAUGGACGAAAGUCGGACCGAGCAACGCCGCGUGAGUGAAGAAGGUUUUCGGAUCGUAAAACUCUGUUGUUAGAGAAGCGGUAUCUAACCAGAAAGCCACGGCUAACUACGUGCCAGCAGCCGCGGUAAUAC
rnacentral:rRNA from 1 species